rnacentral:lncRNA from 1 species
UGGAUCCUUCUCAGAAGGCGGAGUGGUUCCAACAACCGAGCUCUCUGGUAGCCACCAGCCUAGAACAUUAUUUUCAGGCCCAAGGAAGCAGUAGCGAGGUUUAAAACAUAAGGGAAGUGCCCAGCCUGAACUUCCAGACCCAUCACUUUACCCCACCCCCCAACACAGCCAGCUCUGUGUCUUUAGACGUUCUUAGACUCAGUCAAUGGUGGACUUGUACAAGCGUUUGGAGGGCAGAAAACCAGAAGUCUAGAAUACUGUCAUGUGUAUCCAUUAAAAUGCUUAUGGUUAAGCCA